rnacentral:lncRNA from 1 species
GCAUGUGGCCACUAGCUAGACAGACUUUAGGAGUUGCUAUGGUAACUUUUCCCUUUUUUGCUAACCAUUUGGAAACCUUACAUUUUUCAAAUCUGCAUGCUUUGAAAAGGCCUGCUUGAUUCUACUUUGUUUUUCAAGCUUUGCUUUGAUUUACUGUAUUUAAUUUGCUUCACCUUCUAAUUUGUUAAAUGACAUGUUAUUAAAAUUCCCCAGGGGGCCAGCAGGAAUCUGUGCCGCUGAGAGACAGCAUGCAUUCUGGAAGUCGGUGAUUCACAUCUGAGCACUCAGAGGAGAUUUUGGAAACCCAUUAGGUUAGCAGAGCCGCUCUGGGCAGAAUCAGCGCUGGCAGGGACGCUGCAUUUGACAACUCAAGUCUUUAGGUGAUGCUGAAAAGCCUGCCCUAGCUUCUCAUUUCCUCCGUCCCCCAGCGAAUCGUUCUUUGCUGCUGCUGUCCUCGGUGUGAAAAGGUGACCCCCCCACUGCCCAUCGCACCUGCUUGCUAUCUCUCGUCGG